rnacentral:rRNA from 1 species
UGCAGUCGACGGCAGCACGGAGCUUGCUCUGGUGGCGAGUGGCGAACGGGUGUGUAAUAUAUCGGAACGUACCCUAGAGUGGGGGAUAACGUAGCGAAAGUUACGCUAAUACCGCAUACGAUCUAAGGAUGAAAGUGGGGGAUCGCAAGACCUCAUGCUCGUGGAGCGGCCGAUAUCUGAUUAGCUAGUUGGUAGGGUAAAAGCCUACCAAGGCAUCGAUCAGUAGCUGGUCUGAGAGGACGACCAGCCACACUGGAACUGAGACACGGUCCAGACUCCUACGGGAGGCAGCAGUGGGGAAUUUUGGACAAUGGGCGAAAGCCUGAUCCAGCAAUGCCGCGUGAGUGAAGAAGGCCUUCGGGUUGUAAAGCUCUUUUGUCAGGGAAGAAACGGUGAGAGCUAAUAUCUCUUGCUAAUGACGGUACCUGAAGAAUAAGCACCGGCUAACUACGUGCCAGCAGCCGCGGUAAUACGUAGGGUGCAAGCGUUAAUCGGAAUUACUGGGCGUAAAGCGUGCGCAGGCGGUUUUGUAAGUCUGAUGUGAAAUCCCCGGGCUCAACCUGGGAAUUGCAUUGGAGACUGCAAGGCUAGAAUCUGGCAGAGGGGGGUAGAAUUCCACGUGUAGCAGUGAAAUGCGUAGAUAUGUGGAGGAACACCGAUGGCGAAGGCAGCCCCCUGGGUCAAGAUUGACGCUCAUGCACGAAAGCGUGGGGAGCAAACAGGAUUAGAUACCCUGGUA